UUUGUUUAAGCUCAAUCAAUCCUCUGAAACGGAGUAUAAGUAUUCAAAUCAGAUAAAAUUUUGAUAAAAAAAAAUUUUAAGCUAUCUACUGCAAGAUUAAUAUCUCUGAUAAAAAGUGUUAGUGUUAUAUUACCAUUUUUUAUAAGAUUUUUAUUUUCAGCCGCUGAUUUUGAACCCUUUCGAUCACUAAGUAAAUGAUUCUCAAAAAUUGCAAAAAAUAUUUUCGAGAUACUUCAAAUACGCUAGAUUAAAUCUAACGGAGUCGAUCAUCGAUUCAGAAGCUCCAUCAUCGAAAACGGCUUAGGAGCACGGAAGCCUCAGUGCUCCUAAUUAAUAGCACACAAGACCUUCUCUCUCUCUCUCUCUCUCUCUCUCUCUCUCUAUAUAUAUAUAUAUAUAUAUAAAAGAUAUGUUUAAUUGUAAAAACCAUUGAUAGUAGAAUAUUUUUGACACAUGACGUGCUGAGUUAGUUAUGUAAUAUUUAUAUAAUUUAUAAAUUAUUAAUAUAUAAUCAAGAAAUAAUAAAU
rnacentral:lncRNA from 1 species